GGCUGUAGCUCAGCGGUAGAGCACAUGCCUAACAUGUGUGAGGCACUGGGUUCAAUCCUCAGCACCA
rnacentral:tRNA from 1 species